rnacentral:rRNA from 1 species
GAUGAACGCUGGCGGCGUGCCUAAUACAUGCAAGUCGAGCGAACAGAUAAGGAGCUUGCUCCUUUGACGUUAGCGGCGGACGGGUGAGUAACACGUGGGUAACCUACCUAUAAGACUGGAAUAACUCCGGGAAACCGGGGCUAAUGCCGGAUAACAUUUAGAACCGCAUGGUUCUAAAGUGAAAGAUGGUUUUGCUAUCACUUAUAGAUGGACCCGCGCCGUAUUAGCUAGUUGGUAAGGUAACGGCUUACCAAGGCAACGAUACGUAGCCGACCUGAGAGGGUGAUCGGCCACACUGGAACUGAGACACGGUCCAGACCCCUACGGGAGGCAGCAGUAGGGAAUCUUCCGCAAUGGGCGAAAGCCUGACGGAGCAACGCCGCGUGAGUGAUGAAGGUCUUCGGAUCGUAAAACUCUGUUAUUAGGGAAGAACAAAUGUGUAAGUAACUGUGCACGUCUUGACGGUACCUAAUCAGAAAGCCACGGCUAACUACGUG